UUAAUUGAAGAGUUUGAUCAUGGCUCAGAUUGAACGCUGGCGGCAGGCCUAACACAUGCAAGUCGAGCGGAAACGGCAGUAUUGAAGCUUCGGUGGAUUUACUGGACUUUAAUUGAAGAGUUUGAUCAUGGCUCAGAUUGAACGCUGGCGGCAGGCCUAACACAUGCAAGUCGAGCGGAAACGGCAGUAUUGAAGCUUCGGUGGAUUUACUGGACGUCGAGCGGCGGACGGGUGAGUAACGGCUGGGAACCUGCCCUGACGAGGGGRAUAACCGUUGGAAACGACGGCUAAUACCGCAUAAURUCUUGAUUCGUUAGAGUCAGGACCAAAGGUGGCCUCUACAUGUAAGCUAUCGCGUUGGGAUGGGCCCAGUUAGGAUUAGCUAGUUGGUAAGGUAAUGGCUUACCAAGGCAACRAUCCUUAGCUGGUUUGAGAGGAUGAUCAGCCACACUGGGACUGAGACACGGCCCAGACUCCUACGGGAGGCAGCAGUGGGGAAUAUUGCACAAUGGGGGAGACCNGGACCAAAGGUGGCCUCUACAUGUAAGCUAUCGCGUUGGGAUGGGCCCAGUUAGGAUUAGCUAGUUGGUAAGGUAAUGGCUUACCAAGGCAACGAUCCUUAGCUGGUUUGAGAGGAUGAUCAGCCACACUGGGACUGAGACACGGCCCAGACUCCUACGGGAGGCAGCAGUGGGGAAUAUUGCACAAUGGGGGAGACCCUGAUGCAGCCAUGCCGCGUGUGUGAAGAAGGCCUUCGGGUUGUAAAGCACUUUCAGCAGUGAGGAAGGUCGUGUACUUAAUACGUGCACGGCUUGACGUUAGCUGCAGAAGAAGCACCGGCUAACUCCGUGCCAGCAGCCGCGGUAAUACGGAGGGUGCGAGCGUUAAUCGGAAUUACUGGGCGUAAAGCGCAUGCAGGCGGUUUGUUAAGUCAGAUGUGAAAGCCCGGGGCUCAACCUCGGAACCGCAUUUGAAACUGGCAGGCUAGAGUCUUGUAGAGGGGGGUAGAAUUUCAGGUGUAGCGGUGAAAUGCGUAGAGAUCUGAAGGAAUACCAGUGGCGAAGGCGGCCCCCUGGACAAAGACUGACGCUCAGAUGCGAAAGCGUGGGUAGCAAACAGGAUUAGAUACCCUGGUAGUCCACGCCGUAAACGCUGUCUACUUGGAGGUUGAGGUUUUAGACUUUGGCUUUCGGCGCUAACGCAUUAAGUAGACCGCCUGGGGAGUACGGCCGCAAGGUUAAAACUCAAAUGAAUUGACGGGGGCCCGCACAAGCGGUGGAGCAUGUGGUUUAAUUCGAUGCAACGCGAAGAACCUUACCUACUCUUGACAUCCAGCGAAGCCUUUAGAGAUAGAGGYGUGCCUUCGGGAGCGCUGAGACAGGUGCUGCAUGGCUGUCGUCAGCUCGUGUUGUGAAAUGUUGGGUUAAGUCCCGCAACGAGCGCAACCCUUAUCCUUGUUUGCCAGCACRUAAUGGUGGGAACUCCAGGGAGACUGCCGGUGAUAAACCGGAGGAAGGUGGGGACGACGUCAAGUCAUCAUGGCCCUUACGAGUAGGGCUACACACGUGCUACAAUGGCAGAUACAGAGGGCAGCGAGACAGCGAUGUUUAGCGAAUCCCUUAAAGUUUGUCGUAGUCCGGAUUGGAGUCUGCAACUCGACUCCAUGAAGUCGGAAUCGCUAGUAAUCGUGGAUCAGAAUGCCACGGUGAAUACGUUCCCGGGCCUUGUACACACCGCCCGUCACACCAUGGGAGUGGGCUGCACCAGAAGUAGAUAGCUUAACCUUCGGGAGGGCGUUUACCACGGUGUGGUUCAUGACUGGGGUGAAGUCGUAACAAGGUAGCCCUAGGGGAACCUGGGGCUGGAUCACCUCCUUA
rnacentral:rRNA from 1 species